rnacentral:rRNA from 1 species
UACGUAGGGCGCAAGCGUUGUCCGGAAUUAUUGGGCGUAAAGAGCUCGUAGGCGGUUUGUCGUGUCUGCUGUGAAAACCUGAGGCUCAACCUCGGGCUUGCAGUGGGUACGGGCAGACUAGAGUGCGGUAGGGGUGACUGGAAUUCCUGGUGUAGCGGUGGAAUGCGCAGAUAUCAGGAGGAACACCGAGUGGCGAAGGCAGGUCACCUGGGCCG